UACGGAGGGUGCGAGCGUUGUCCGGAAUCACUGGGCGUAAAGGGCGCGUAGGUGGCGCGGGCAGUCAACGGUGAAAGUUCGGGGCUCAACCCUGAAUCGGCCGUCGAUACUCCCGGGCUUGAGCACUGUAGAGGCAGAUGGAAUUCCGGGUGUAGCGGCGGAAUGCGUAGAGAUCCGGAAGAACACCGGUGGCGAAGGCGGUCUGCUGGGCAGUAGCUGACACUGAGGCGCGCCAGCGUGGGGAGCAAACAGG
rnacentral:rRNA from 1 species